AAUGGUUUCAUGACUUCAUGAGUUGAUCAAAGAGAUGUAUUUUCCCUCGUUUUAUUUAUAAUAUAAUGUAAUAACAAGUCGUUUUCCUUUCUUCCGAAGCACGGUUUUAUUUCAUCAGUUCAAGAGGUAAAGAUACCAUUCUGGGUCGAGCCUCCUUCUAUGUUCCGGUUUUGGUAUUGAAAUUGGAGCAGAAGGAUAAAAAAACUAAAAUCCAAACAUAUCGAUUAAUUUAAUUAGUAUUAAACAAUGUAAUAAUUUUUGAAGAAAAUUCAAAAACCAAAAUAUUUUAAGAUUAUUUUACGAAACCACAGCGCACAUAUUGACUUACAAACUUAUGAAAUAUUGCGAUGUUAUGAUUGAGGCAUUUAUGUGAACUAUAAGCAAUUAUCAAUUAUUUAAUUUCUUUUAAACAACUUGUGUCCUUUAUUUGUUUCAAUUUCGCGUUUGUUGAUUUGUAACACAGUUAAUUCGUUUUGAUGCCUAUUUUUUAAUUGUUAUUUACCUUGUGAACACACACACGAGCCAACAAAUGAUUUAUAUCCUUACUUGCGCUAGAGCAGGCUGUAAUGAAAUCUUGCAAAGGUUUCGCCACGAACUUUCCCCACCAACAACAUACUAUACACUGCUCAAAACUCGUCAACUUUUGCUGCAACUACCAGGCCCGUUCCUGGGCGCUAUUGCUUUCAUUCCCGGAACUGCUUCGAACGCUACAACGAACGAUUCUGUGAAGGAAAUUUGAAGCCCAGCUCAAAUUGAAUUUCCGUGUGAACGGCUAAUGGCCGGCGGGUGCGUCCCUCGGGACACUUGUCGCUUUCGGCGCAUUUCGACAUUGAUUGAAUGAUGAGUGAAUGCUUUCGGAUGCUUGUCAGAAGCGAUUGCUGUCCAGAAUGGUGAGAAUCGGUUCGGGCACAGGAAAGCGUACCGUGGCAGGAAGAAGGAACCUGACUUUUUAGCGAACGGUAAAAUGGAACAAAGUUUACCGGUUACAUCAGUGGAUUAAAAAGUUUACUCCAACGAGUGCCUCUUGUACUAUGUAGUGGUGUAUUCGGUUUUAAAGUGAAUGCUAUGACUUGCCACAUUUCUGGCAAGCAGCAGAAACUUUAAUGAUCAGAUGUUGGCGUUUAAUAAAAGAUGAACAUUAAA